CGAACGGUGAACACGGAGCUUGCUCUGUGGGAUCAGUGGCGAACGGGUGAGUAACACGUGAGCAACCUGCCCCUGACUCUGGGAUAAGCGCUGGAAACGGCGUCUAAUACUGGAUAUGUGACGUGAUCGCAUGGUCUGCGUCUGGAAAGAAUUUCGGUUGGGGAUGGGCUCGCGGCCUAUCAGCUUGUUGGUGAGGUAAUGGCUCACCAAGGCGUCGACGGGUAGCCGGCCUGAGAGGGUGACCGGCCACACUGGGACUGAGACACGGCCCAGACUCCUACGGGAGGCAGCAGUGGGGAAUAUUGCACAAUGGGCGCAAGCCUGAUGCAGCAACGCCGCGUGAGGGACGACGGCCUUCGGGUUGUAAACCUCUUUUAGCAGGGAAGAAGCGAAAGUGACGGUACCUGCAGAAAAAGCGCCGGCUAACUACGUGCCAGCAGCCGCGGUAAUACGUAGGGCGCAAGCGUUAUCCGGAAUUAUUGGGCGUAAAGAGCUCGUAGGCGGUUUGUCGCGUCUGCUGUGAAAUCCGGAGGCUCAACCUCCGGCCUGCAGUGGGUACGGGCAGACUAGAGUGCGGUAGGGGAGAUUGGAAUUCCUGGUGUAGCGGUGGAAUGCGCAGAUAUCAGGAGGAACACCGAUGGCGAAGGCAGAUCUCUGGGCCGUAACUGACGCUGAGGAGCGAAAGGGUGGGGAGCAAACAGGCUUAGAUACCCUGGUAGUCCACCCCGUAAACGUUGGGAACUAGUUGUGGGGUCCAUUCCACGGAUUCCGUGACGCAGCUAACGCAUUAAGUUCCC
rnacentral:rRNA from 1 species